AUGCAAGCGUUUUCUAAUUCACCCAGCUUGGACCCUGCGUCCGCACAUGCGCACAUGCGCUCGCCCUGCCCCCUCCCUGAACGUGCCAGUCUACACGCAGCUAGCCCAGGUGCUGCGCGUGCUCGCCGCUUCCAUGCGCGUGGUCUCGCUCCGUCCCGGCAGAAUGUACGUGCGCGUGCCUGGACCUCCACCCUGGCAGGAAGGCGCGCUCCCCCUCGCUCCCGGCCCAGUGACUCAGCAUCUCACGCAGCCCAGCACUGCUCUGCAGGCUGUGGGCGUGCGCUCCGGCUUUUCCGCCCACCGCCAGUGAGUUCCACUCAGCCCCCCAUGGCAGCCCACGCUCCACGGUCACACUUGUCGGGCAGGCUCAAAUCAAGGCCUAAUCCGGCCAUAUACUCUUGCCUCAGCUUCCUCAUCUUUAGGACGAGCGAUUAUGGAUCCCUCACUCAUUCCAUCCUCUAUGUCCGUCUCCUGCUUGACUGAAGCUCCCUCCCUCUGGACCUGCUUAGCUCAUUGAGCUCACUGAUCCAUUAGGCAGUGUGUCAGAUAAAGUCCCUGCUCCAUGUGGACUCGUUCGGUGGCUCCUCAUCUCUAAACAGAAAUCAAAAUUCUCACAAUGAUUUGUAAGCCACUGGGUGAAUUCCCUUCUCUCUAAUGUCACCUCUAUGACUUCUUCCUCUAAUUUGCUCCACUCCAGCCACAUGUGCCUUCUGUUUGUGGGACAUCUAUGGGUGCUCUUGUCUCAGACUUUGCAAUGUCUUUUCCCUUUGACUGAACACUUUCCUUCCAGGUAGCCAACUGGCUCAUUUCUUCCCCUUCAUGCUUUUACUCAAAUAUAAUAGUGAAUUUUUUUCUUAACCAUUUAGUUAAAGGAAAUGCUUAUUUCCAACCUUCCUUUAAAUAUAUAUACAUAUAAUUUCAUUUUUAUUGUGUGUGGUGGAUAUUUUAUUAAUUAUGUGUGGGAGUGGACAUACAAUUUUUAUUAGUUAUGUGUGUGGGGUGGGUAUAUAAUUUUAGCAUUAAUUAUGUGUGGGGUGGGUAUGAGCAUGAGGAUGCAGGUGCCAUUGGUAUUCCCGUUGGUUGCAGCGGGAGCUACAGACAGUUAUGAGUACUGGGAACUCAAUUCAGGUCCUCUGCAAGGGAACUAUGUGUUCUUAACCACAGAUUCAUCUCUGGGGCUUCAUCCAGUUUGCCUCUUCUCAGGAGCACUUGCCAGCUCUGAAAUCCCAUAAAUUCUAUUUACUUAUUUGGCUUACGUACCCACAACACUUGCUUUAGUACCUCUAACCAGGAAGGCAUUCCAUAAAGUUCUGCUAAAUUGGGCUCAGCCAGUAAGAGCACUCAACUGCUCUUCCGCAGGUCCUGAGUUCAAAUCCCAGCAACCACAUCCGUAAGGAGAUCCGACUCCCUCUUCUGGAGUGUCUGAAGACAGCUACAGUGUACAUAUAGUAAAUACAUUCUUUAAAAAAAAAAAAAGGUUCUG
rnacentral:lncRNA from 1 species